rnacentral:rRNA from 1 species
UGCGUAGGCGGACUAAUAGGUCAGUGGUGAAAUCUCUCGGCUCAACCGGGAAACUGCCAUUGAUACUGUUAGUCUUGAGUUCGGUUGAGGUAGGCGGAAUGUGUAAUGUAGCGGUGAAAUGCUUAGAUAUUACACAGAACACCAAUUGCGUAGGCAGCUUACUAGACCGACACUGACGCUGAGGCACGAAAGCGUGGGUAGCGAACAGGAUUAGAUACCCUGGUAGUCC